GCGGCCCUGCUUGAGACAGCUAGCGGGUACGUGCACCUCAGCCCUGCUCAGAUACCCGAGUGCUGUGGGGAAUCCCGGGAUGUCCUGAUCCCGGCUUACAACCUUUCGUACUUGUCCUCUGCUCUUUUGCUCUUCAUUAAGGAUGCUCAUCUGUCAUAGCAUCAUGCUGCAGAGAGCUCUGUGGUCUCUCCGUUUGGUGUUUAUGACAGGUGAGGCCCCAGCCGUGUGUCCGGCUGUGAUACAGGGGCUCACACCACCUUUUAACCAGAACGCUGUAAGCUCUUGAUGUUAAACUGGGCAACCACAAUAAGUAUCGCAUUCUGUACAGCUUUUCGCCUUGCUCCAGAUCACUCAGUUUUCCAGAUCACUCAGGAGCUCUUGGUUUGUCACUGGAGUAGGUGCCUGCUCCCAUACUCCAUAAGCAAAGAUACCAGAAAACUAAUGCGUACUUUCACCUGUUUAUGAAGAGGAAAACCAAAGGACACAUAUUACAGUAGGAAAAAACAGUUAUCAUGUGUUUAUCAUGCUUAUCUUAAUCUCAUUUUGCUUCCUAGUCCUUUAAAUCUAAAUAAGCUGUGAUGUGAAAAAAUUGCAGUUCCAUCCUUGUCUAACAACUGAGUACCUUCCUACUGAAUCAGUCUUUUGUAAAUCAUGCUUAGGGAAAAAAAGAAAAGGUAGAAGCAGCAAGGGAAAUGGUGACUUAAAUGCUAAUAAUUAUGCCACAAAAAUACAUACAACAGAAGUUAAAUUGAAAAUAGUUCGUUCAGCAAAUGCCAUGUGACAGGUGCAUGUAUUCAGUGAACUCAUACAAGGUCAGCUUCAUUCAAAACCCACAUCAAUCUGUUAGGAACAUCCUAUCUUCGGUAUGCUCUGAACUAGAAUAUGAAAAAAUAACAAACAAAAGACCUCAAUUGUAUAAGUGAGCUCUUCUGUGUGAUCUGGAAUGAGUUACACAGCAGGGAUGUUAAUAUGCGGAUGAUACUUAUCUAGCUUAUCUAUCUUUUACAACAGCAUGCAAAAACAUCUCAGAAAGUGGAUUUUGUUUGAUAGCCAUGGCAUAGGUUGAGACUGGCCUUCUGGAGGUGUUAGGGUACCUAUUUUUGAGUGACUGGAUAGGUGUUUAAUUAAAAAGGAAAAAAUCUAGCAAGUAGUGAGACUGCUGAAGAAAACCUGUGAUCAGUAGUGGGAGCUGUAAAGAGGCAUUUUGUACCAGCCUAGUGAGAGCUUACCUACAUGGAAAUCAGGAAACUGAGGCAGGGACCAAGCCACUCCAGGUCAGAAGAAAUCCUCUUAUUGUCAAAAGGACAGUAAUUGCAUUGAAUUCCAUUGAAGUUUUACUUGUAUUACAUGCAUUAUUUUUAACACACAUAGGAUAUUAGGACUUGUGUUGCUGAAAAUACAUUGGCUUUUUGAGCCAGUCACCUUUCUGCUCUCCAAAACUGUAAUAAUCUUAAUGAAAGGCCUGAAAGGAAGCCACAUGAAUGGAUGUGCCAACUGAUAGCUCUGAAAGGGCUCCGGUAUGUCCCUCAGUGAAUGUAUGCUUCGGAUAAAAAAGAUUUCUAGGAAUGAUAACGGCAGUCAAAUUAUCACGAAGUAAAGUGAACCCCUCUGGACAGUACUGUAAAAGAAACAGGAGAACUAGAGAUCAGAAGUGAGAGAUGACUGCAAAAAAUGAGGCAGAGAAUGUACAUUGCGUGAGCAGGGAGGAUAGGUGUUUAAAAAUACCUUAAGUCAGAAACUUUUUUGGUAUGUUGUGUUCAUACAUUGCUUUGUCAAGCAGGAAGGGUAUUUGGAAGAAGUAUUCAAAUUACAGCCUUUGUAACAAAACCUAACAAUAUUAGCCUGGGUCUGAAGAGUGCAAAACACAGUCAGUCUUUUAUUACUGGAAGGACUUUUCUAGGUGUCGAUUAGUUUUGUUCAACAGCCAACAUCAGUAGGAAGCUGCCAGAUAGUUGUUAAUGUUGCUGUCUCUGGAUUUCUUGCAACUUUAAGGUAUACGGAGUACUUGCAGAAUGUAUUUUGUGACUGCCAUCCUUGUCCUGUACCAUAUGUUUUCUUUGACAAUUUUGUUUAGUUGGUAGGAAGUAAAAAGCGCUGGAGCAGUGCUCAUGAAAGCUGGCAGGUUCAUCUCCUGCAGUUUGCUCAGCACCACUGUAGCCAGAGAGGAGUCUCCUGGUGACCCUGGAACCCUUGUCCAGCAGCACUUCAUGCCAAGGCUGUAUUACAGAGCUAUUCCAGUUUGGUCAUCUGACCUCGUCUGUUCAGCUCGUGAAACCUUCUUAGACAAAUACCUGGUAUCUUUUUGUACUAAAAAAAGUAAUCCUAAUGUAUGACAGGGUAGAUUGCCAGCAGAUUGGUGAAGUAAACCAUUUCUGAUCCAUUUCCAUUACCUUCUGCAACCCAUUUCUCUUACAAUUUAUUCACAUAUCUUUUAGGAAAUUUUCUUCUGAGAGAAAGGCCUUCAUGAAAAUAACCAUUUUCCCUUUUCUGCAGAAACAGUGUGUUUGUGCUUAUGCAUGCAUGUGCAGGUAUGUGUUUAUUUACUUAUCCUUAUGUACACCCACAAAUGCACAGGACAGAGCUUGGCACCAGCAGAAAAGAGAUUAGUGCCUUCGUUCUGCCGGCAAGAGCGUUUCACUCUUAGAACCUUAUCCCCGGAUUCACUAUUACCGGGUGCUUUAGAUCAGGAUUUGCACUACAAUUCCUGACUUCUAUGGAAAAUGUUGUAAAGUGUACUUGGAAGGAAAUAGAUCAACUGCUCCCAUGUGGGGAAGUAGAGCACAGCCUCAAACAACUCACCCAGCAAAUAGCUGGGUGUAACCCUGUGCAUUCAGAAAUCUGUUGCUUUCCUCGUCGGUUUUCUAUGUAACACACUUUCAGAGCUGCUCAUGUAUACCAUGAUGGGCUAAUUUGUAGUUUAUGUAUUGUAUUAGAACUAUUACCAAGGGGUUGAGGUGAGGUGUAGUUUAUUUAAGUGGCUUCCUCAGAAGUGCACUGUUAGCCUUCAGCAGGAUGAAAUACAGUUUGCAAGUACAGCUGGUGACUGUCUGCUGCUCAUGGGAGAGAUCAGGCAGAUGGCAAUACUUUGCAGUAUCUGGACCCUCAGUGACCUAUCUGUAGUGGUCCCUUAUUUUUUCUAGUUAUCUACUGGAACAGGGGUGCUUUGUCCGUUUACACUACAAUGCAGCUGGGCCCUGAAUCUUUAGUUUCAACUGAUGUUGGCUAGGUAACUUUAUUUUCAAACACUACUAUUAGGCAUGCAGACAUAGUGUUCAGUGGCAUGCAGCUACUUGGAAACUGAACCCAGGCAAGCAGAGUCCAACUGCCAAUUUCUCCUGAAAUCACAGGAGAGUUUGUGUCCUGCAGGGAACUGAGCACAGUUCAGUAGCUGGGAUCAGGCAGGUGAACUAUAAAGGAAGUGAUAGAGAUUUUGGAUUCUAAUAUAUAUUUAUUUUUUCCUAAUAAUUCUUCAAAAAACAAACUUUUUUUCUUGUAUUUAAAUGCAUUUCUCUUUGUUUUUCCUUAAAAAAAAAAAAAAAAAAAGUUGCCAGAAAAGCUGAACAAGUCAUGAAUAAUGUAUCAAAAAGAAUUAGUGAGUUUAUCUUCUGUCCAUGCCAUUUGCAAACUGGUAGGGGGUUAAACAUUUUGAUUAAUACUUUAUGAAGCUCAUUUUGGGGUAAGUGUUAUUGUCUGGACUUUCAGAACAAGCAUUUGGAGGGAUUUGGGCCAGGUUUCGUAACCUCAUUGUGCCACAGUUCAUCUGGCUUUGAAGUGUAUUCGUAUGCCUGCUUCUGUGUCACAGGACCAUAAGGAGUGCUCUAAGAUGAAAGGUGCUGAGCAAGUGCUAAGUACUCCUGUUACUGCUGCUGCCAGAGGUCAGUGACUCAAUGAAAUUUUGCAGGACUUUAAUAUCACACAAACAAGGAACCCAGCAAGGUCUUGUAAUUAGUGUAGACGAUGACUGUAUGCUAUUACCACUAGCAAAGUGUGAGUAUGAUGGAAAUACUCGAUUUGUUUUUAACUAAUAUGGACUACAAGAAAUUUUAAAUUAAAUUAGUAAAUUAAGUCUUAUCUGAAGGCAUUGUAUAGAAUCAGAAACUAAACCUGCACAAAGUUGUGAUUUGCAGGAUGUUGAUCUGAACACUCAUGCUUCAGAGACUUUCUGUUUCUAGGCAAAGCGCAUCUUCCAUGCCAGCCUGAGUCCUACAGCCCUGGCUGCUAAACAGUUGUCUGCAAAGCACUUGGAGGUUUCAGGCCAGUGCUAAAUGUUCUGCAGACCCUGUGGACAGUUCUUGAGAGAGUAUUACUGCUGGAGAAGGGGUGAUGGCAUGCCCAGUUUGCUUUGCUGAUAUGGCACCAUUUCUUGUUGGUGGCUCGACAAGGGUCCAGCUUUUAGUGUGGGAAGUGUUUUGACUACAUUGUUGGAACUGGCAAGAAUAAACUGUAACGCACAACUUAAUUUCAAAUGACUCGCUCUAGAGAGCUCUUUUGCUUUGCAGUUGAAUUGCUAUGGCCGUUGUUUCCAACCUUUUUCAAUUUUACUGCUCUGAAAAGCUUCCAGUGGAGAUGCAGAAAGAACAUCCAUACAAGUUGGAUGGCGCAUUAAUGUUUACAUUUUUCUCAGUUACCUGCCUCUGAUGUCUUGUACAUAGUUUUUUUUAGUACAGUUCAGGUUUUGUGGGCCAUAUGUCAAACACAACACCCUAACUGCGACCAUUUUUUUUUCCUGAAUAAAGUCACAUAAGUAGAGUAUGUAGGCACAAGGGGCAAAAUUUCACUCCAUCCACUGUUGUUUUUAGUGACAGUAUUUGACAUUUACUUCCCCAAAAAUAUAGGAUUUAUGUUUGUAUUUUAUUAGAUCAUUUCUGUAUUUGCAUUGUAGUCUCACUGUGUUCGCCCUUCUUUCAUUCUGCUGCAAAUCAGGGACCAGUGUCUUAAUUUUAUAACCUCUGUUUCUGUGAAUGGCAGCUGCUGCUCUCUAGCCAUGGAAGGUAAGGUGAGCUGAACUGAGGCAGGCCUCAGGCAGCUCCCUGCCUGUUACGAAGAUUUUCACUGCUGUGCCAUACCAAUAUGCUCCAAGAAGUUGGGAGCCUUUGAUCUGAAACUGUAGUUCUGCAGAUGCAAGACAGGCUUGCACAAGUCCAGCAUUACCAUUCCCUCUGUCACCAAUUAAAAAGUGUUUAGCACAUUUGAAGAGAAAAUAAGUAGUUAACAGUAUUAUAGUAUUACAGGGCAGGAAGACACUUUACAUUUUCAGUUCUGUUAACAGGGAAUAAAAUGUCCGUUACGUAAGGAGAAAUAUUAUAGAAAUGAAAUAUUUAUAGCUUGGAAAAAAAAAAAAGAACUUGAUAGCUGUCUGCAGUUCUGUGAACUGCAGUGUGAUUAUGGUGGAGAAGAAACAGUGUUAGCUAGGUCAGUGCUUCAGAGGAGAACAUGUCCCAGAGCAAUAAGAGAGGUUGAAGCAAUUAAACAUAAUUUAGACCAGAAAGGUUUCCAGAUAAUUUUUCCAAGUAAAAUGCAGUAGUUGUUCCAGCUCAUACGUUAUUUAGUUCUAAAAUAUGUUGGCAUGAAUAGUGCUAGGCUUUAGAUGGCAUUAGAUGUUGGUGACAUUUUACAUAGGCUCAAAUUCAGUGAAUUGCUGAAAGCAAAUAUUGUGAUCGAUGUAACAUACUGUACAUGAUAAAUCAAACCUGAAGACCACUCUCUCUGGUGAGAGAGUCAAGCAACUGGGAAUCUAUGAACUUCUCAAAAAAGAUCAGUGCAAUCUAGAAGGGCAGUGUAGUUAAGGACAGUUAACAUGGACUUUACUUUGUACAAGGACUCAGAGGUUUGGUAUUUCUGAUAUUAAUUUCAAUCACUUUGGCUUUUGUGAUUAUGAUACAAUUUUCUUACAUGAUAAUAUUCUGUUUUUAACACAACAAUUCCCAAGUUCAGUGUACUGAGAUGGCUUGUUAGGAAAUCAGUUAUGUACUUAAUUAAGUAUUGUGAAGUCCCUUUCAUGUUCAUUUUAGAAGUGUGCAGUGGAACAGCGUAUUCUUUGCUACCUGAGCAAGCAAUAUGCAACUCUAGAGUCUUGGGGGCAGAGCUGGGGAAAAGAAUGCAAACAAUUUGAGGUUCUCAGGAUCCAAGGAGCCUUCUAGUGUGAAGGAAAUUGAGUGUUGGAAUUUCCUCAGUGUGGAAAAAGAGAGAUCUUACCUCUCAUUUUACAAUGGAGGUUUGCAGAGCGUCUCUUAAUAACAGCGUCUCUAUCUCUUUAAAAGAGAUAGCUGCCUUGAGAAGACACUCAGCAGACACAAAGGGUGUUUUGGUUACUGUGAUGACAUAAAAUACAUGUCCUUUCCACACAGUAGUCUUUUCAGUUCACUACUGUGGUUCAUUUGCUUUGCCUUGUUGUCUGUUGGGUACUGAAACAGUUUAGUUACACAGGCAUCCAAUCUGCUCACAAGUAGCUACCAAUAUCUGACUUGGGCAGGGAAGGGCAUCAUGGAUGUGCACAUGGAUUUCCCAGGUAAUUUACUGGCAGCAAAGGGAAGGCAGGGCUCAGAUCCCUUGUUCUAGUCUCAGCCUCUGGAAGGGAUGUGUGGGCAAGCACAUCUCUCCUUGUUUUCAUCCCAUUCAAACUCUUGCCUUCCUUGAGGGAUCACAUCCUGAUAGUCUCAGACAGUCAUUUGGUCCUUGCCCUGUUAUUAGCUUUUGUAAUUUACUUCAUCAAACCACCUCACUUCCUCAUCCACUCUAGCAUUCUGGAAAUGACUUGGAACACUUGAGUUAAUUGCAAUCCACCGACCAAGAAGCUGCUUACGGAGAGGAGUUCAAACCUGCUGCCAGUGAUAGCAGGAAGAACCUGAUAAACAUGGGAUGAGCUUGGGAAGACAGCUGGUUUCCCUCGUUCCCUCAUUCACUAGCACCCGUGCACUGUCUGUAGGCUGCCCCACAGUUGGUAGGGAAUAAAUCUUCCCUUCUCAGUGUAUGGAUCAUCUUCGCUAUCAAACUUUAAUCUCUUAUCUCUUGCUCAUACUUUUUUUGAAGCCCAUUAAAAUAACCUCAGUUUUUUGUCACAGAGAUGUUUCUGUCAAUUUUAGUCUGCUCUUCAAUAGUACAAAAUGAUUGAUAACAUGUAGCCACAAGUCUACUAUGGCAGCAUGAUCAGCUUGCCCCUAUUUAUGUCCAGUCAUGACGGUUUCGCAGUCUGAAGCAUUUGCUUUAGAAGAGAAAGGAAGUUUAAACCAUAAAACAUUUUUAAGAUCCACAAAAACCCUUCUGUUUGCUCCAGGUAAAUACAUUUCUCAAUUGCUUCUCUAAUACAAAAGAUAAAUGUGCAUAAACAUGCACAUAGAGUGAGCAUGAAAAGAGAAUACAUUUACAGAAAAAUGGUUCACUGAGUGGUACUAAGUAUUGUGCUGAUUACUCACUACUUUGCAUGUGCGACAAGGUGGCUACAGAAAGGACAAAAGCUGCAUGUGGAACUAUCUAGGUAUUUUCAUGUGUGCAUGACUGUCUUCUGUAGUUUGAGACACCUCUGGUUACAUGCUACAGUUCUGGUUGCAUGUGCAAGUGUGGCUUUAUUUUUGAAUAAUUGAUUUUCUACAUGAAUCUCAUCUUCUUGAAAUAUAACCUAGAAGCACUCCUGCUCACGGCACCACUGUUCUUUAUAUACUUGUGGGCAGACAUUUUGCUUCAGAGCUUUUUAUUUCAAAGCAUGAAAGCAUGACGACCUUUCAGCAUUCGCCGGCUUGUUCUUAUAUGAGCUUUCUGAGAUACAGUCAACGGUCUACUGGUUAGGACAUGCUCCAGCAUUGUAAUCAUCUUUGGAAGAGCUUUUUUCAGCAAGGCCUUCUGGAUUUGUUAUAAGAAGUGUUGUUGGUUGUUUUUUUUUCUUGCUGAUACUGUUCAGAGGCCAACAUUUCUCCCUUCAAUAAAUUUAUGAGGAAACACGGCAGGUAGCCUGCUUGACACUUUCUUAUAUUCUAGGGUUGACCUAUUGGUGAGCUUUGAAUCACUCUCCAGAAAGGCAGCUGUGAGCUAGCUUCUCCAAUUCACAGCGUCCCUUUUUUGUCACCUGCAAUCUCCAGCCUCCUUAUGAGCAGUUGUAUUGCCAAAGACAUCUUAGCUAGCAAAGGCACAAUCCUUGCCUCUGAACUUAGUGAAGAGAAUGUAUGUUAAGCUGCAUAUUUGUGAGGGUUCACUCAGGCUUGUGGUAAUCUGCAAAUGUGGGUUCUUCUGUGUUGAAUGUAUCUACUGAUUUAAAGGUGGAAAUGGGGCAAGUGGUUAAAGAAGGUUCUAGAUUAAGGAGGAAUCUGCAGGAAAGGAAAAAGCCUGGCAACUUUUGCUUUAGCAGUACCAGGACAUCCCACAAGUGUGCAACUAAGGCCUAUCUCAAGUCACAAGAGCUUUUCACCUCAGAAGAAAAACUAAGAUAUUUACAUACCAUGUGGCUGUGGGGCCAUACUUUCAUGACUGAUGUCUUGCUGAAUAACAGACAUUUUUUCCUCCCUCAUUCCGCUCUAAGUCUAAAGCGAACAAAACCAGGAUAAACUUAGAUUAACAAGAAAGCAGUUGGCUUCUCUAUGACCACUACAGAGGAGAAUGUUAAGCAAUACAAGUCCAACGGGUGAUAAAGGAUAAUCUGCUUUGAACUGUAGAAAUAUAUGGAAAGAAAAUCAUGACUCACUACUAUCCCUGAUCUUUUUUAAGUACAGAUAAUUAUAGUAGCUUCACCCCCAAAAGAAACCAUUAUGUAUCAAUAGUGGUAUCAGAAGAGUUUGCCUUACCUCUUAAGAACUCUUGAGUAUGAGCUGAAUGGCAAGAAAUAAGUAAAUCACCUAUACAUGUCUACAGCUGGAAGAAUAAAGAGUGUUUUAAGGUUUUUUUAGUCUUAACAGGCUCUUAGCAUUAGGGACUCUAAACACUUUGCUGUUGACACAGGGUAGGGGGGAGUGAUACACAAACAGCUUGAAUGAUUACAAAGAAAGAAAGAUUAGUAGCCAUUUUGCAAGAGGUUAUUAGAGCAACUUCUAGGAUUUAGUUUCAAAGACAACUCCAAGCUUUAGCAUCUCUCAUUUGCUCUCUGUAAGGAGUAGUGCCUCUGUCUCAUGACAUUUAGUAUCAAAUACACGUCUUUCUGUUUUGACUAGAUAAGAUUCUGUAAGCCUCAAGUCUACUGUGUCUGUCCCUUCUUCAUGAUUCCUUUGUGAAAGCAAGAAAACAUCCCAUUGAGAAACAGGAUAUAAAAAUAAGGAUCCCUGCAUAUCACUCAAUCCUUUUUUUUCUCUUCCACUGCAUGGCAUCACACCAAUGAAGCACAAGCGGCCAUCUGCAGCCUGACAAAUUGAAUCCAAGAGGACCUGCCAUCAUCAGUUUAAGCUUCAAGUACACAUUUUGGCCUCUUUACUUGCUUACAUAUGUUUAUGUAAAAGUGACUGUGUCACAUCGUUUGCCUUCAGCUGAGUCCACCAUCAGGUCCUGUGCCUCGCUGGCUCCAACACUGGGCAGCUCCUGAGCUCCUCAGCCACCACUCCUUUCCGUGGCGUCACUGACUAACGCUCUUGUCUCCAGAGCUGUCUGUAAUCUUCAGGGAUCUGCUAACUUGCUGUCAUCUCAUAAAUCUAAUUUUCUUUUGCUGUGCCUUUUCCAAGGGCUUUCCUCAGAAUAUUUUCUCUUAGCAUUUGUAGGCAAACUGCCACCGUGGUAAUGACAGCAAGGUUCCCAUUGCUAAGCCCCUCAUAAAUGAGAGGCCCAGCUCCAGAAGAGGAAUGCUUCACUUGACAUCUUUUUGAUAUCUGUGUGCUUUGAUUUUAGGCCCAAGCUAAGCACAUGCACUGGUAUGUAUCUCAUAUGAGGCGGCAAGGCUUCAAGUUAAGAAUGUGUGCUUUGCAAAGCUACAGGACUUUAUGUAGCAAUUAGUCCAUGCUUGUCUCUUCUUACUCCUGCAAACAUGCAGUUGUGGUGCCAGGAAACCUGCUGUCUGGCUAACUUUAUUUCUCCUUCCCAUCCCACUGUGCUUGAGUAAGCUCUGGGUCAGUGUUGUUCAGAGGCUUUCUCUCCUAGCUGGCAAGUUGCCUAGCUGCAGUGCUGGCAAGAUGUAGAUGUGACUGCUCUGCCACUGCCAGUGACCUGUGGCUCUCUCUUGUCCUCACCCUCAGUUGCUUGUUUUAGAUUCCUGUUCAGCACGAUGAUGUGUAGGGGGAACAGUGACAUUUUUCUUCCUGCGUGCUAGCAUCUGAUGGCAUGUGGUGAAUGCUUGCUCUCCUCACUGUUUUUUUAAGAUGUUGCACACAAAGGUCAAAGUGAUUAUUCUCUCACUAAGUCUUAAAGCCAAUUUCUGGAUCACAGACGAGAAUAUCAUUGCCUGCAUUCCUUACAUGACUGCUCAUCCUGCUGUAGCUGACCGAUGAUGUUUUCUUACCUGCAAGGUCAGAGAUAAAGAUGUUGAAGUGCUGAGGGAAACUAAUCUCACCAAAGCCUCUUUUGGAUCACAGAAUCAUUCUGUUCUUUGGUGUAUUCUUUUAAAAGCAGUUCUUUUUGGAAGCCUUGGAGAAGCAUGUCGAACUCAGUCAUUUGUAAAUGUCAUGAAUAUAUUGUGUGAGGCAUUCCAGAUGUUGUGAAGUAGGUGUUCAAGGGAAGGUUUCAGAAAGAGAUGUAUCCAUUGUUAACUUGUGCAACAGAAUUUCAUCUUGACGGAAUUUGGUGAUGUUUAUAAUCAUUCUUAACAAUAUAAAUAUUUUUAAAAUGCUAUAUAUAAUUUGAUUUCAGACAUUUUCAGGUCAUAAGUAAAUUAGUAAGCUUGUUCCAAAGCGGAGAUGAAUGACACGAACAGCAUGAUGUGAGUCAGACCCAUUACCUGUUCUAAAUUAAACUAGUCCUGAGCCAAGAUUGAUCUUAAGACAGUGAAAAUAUCCCCACUUCACAGAAACUGAUGACGUUUCUAGUUUUAUAGUGAAGUAAAAGUAAAGCAGAAGAGCUGGGGACAGUAAAGAAGCAACAAACUGACUAGCAUGCAGGAAAGAACAGAAACAUUCAACAAGCAGUAAAUACUCUGAAUAAAAAAGUUAUAGGAAUAAUAGCUUCAGGGGAUAGGUUUUUUGGCUUGCCUAGCACUUCCAAGAAUUUGGAUUGUAGAUUUCUGUGUUUACCAAAGUAGGUUCAUCUCCUAAUGAAAAUGAAUGGAUGUUUCCCUACUGAGGCACUGCAAACUGUUUGAAAUAUCACUUGCAAAGGGCUUCUGUUCUCUGGAAAAAGAAAGAAGUAUAUGAAAUACACAAGGAUGACAUAAAGGGGAGAAAAUCGGAAAGCUUGGAGGAUUUAUCUGAUGGUCUGCCUCCCAACAGAGAUAAAAAAUAUAUAUAUUAAUAUAUGACUCAACUGAGAUUUCAUCUGGGGUUUCUUUGCACAUGCUUCUGGCUGGACAUGCUUAAAGCAGGUCAAUUGAAGCUUGUUCAAAAGAUUAGGGGAAAAAAAAAAACAGCACAACAAAACCCUUCAAACAAUUAGUUUCUUCACUUCUUAUUAUCUUAUCUGGGAAGGAGAAGCUGAAAGAACUUGAUUACUGUAUUCCAGUGAAGAUGAUCAGAGCAUAAUUAAGGUUGUUUUUUGGAGGUAGAUAAGGUAAGGUGUUUGCCUACUCACAGACAAGAGCAAGCUGAGUAGCAGUAUUUGAGUAUUAGCAGACAGGGACUACUUUAAUGCUGGAAGUGAAGAAGGCUUCAGGCUGCCAAAAGGAUGAGGGCUCUGGACAGAUCAGGGACAGGCAAACUGAACUAUAUGGUUUUAAGAUUGAGUUAAUGAAAGCCAUUCUGUUGCAUGUGUCCCAGGAGCACAGCAAAGAACUGAAGCCUAUGUUCUUGGAAGAAGGAAGAAGAACUUGGUACAGACCACUAUCAUUUUAUAUGUAUCUAUCUAUCUCUAAUAUGUGAUCCAUACAAAAGAAGAGAAUCCUUUUUGGUGGAGUUUCAAGAAAUCAGAUGCUCUGACCUUAGCUUAUGCUGUUGUAGUCAUUAUCUAAGAGAACCUGCUAGUUCAGUUUAAGUCCUAAUUUUGAAGGCUUUUUUUUCUUAUAGCAUAUUUUUAAAAUCUAACUGAAUAUGCAGCAGUUCUAAAGUACUGUUUUUUUUUUCCAAAAGAAAUCAUUGCUUACAAGAGACCCACACAAAACCACUAGCCGUUCUCCUGGAGGUACAGCAGAGAAUUAGGAUGCCUGGUUCCCGGAAACACGAGAUGUCCCCUCACCCAGAACUAUGGAGGCAGGGCUGCUGCUUCUGCUGCACUGACAUUACUGCUGGUGCUGGCACGGGUGAACAAAUGAAGCUCUGUUCAUUUUAUGCUCCAGCAGAAUGAGCGUGGGGGUGGGGGGUGACAGGAGAGAGAUGAGCUUGAGGAUGGAGGCUGCUCAGUCACAUGAGGAAAAAUAUAAUGAGAGAAGACAACGGAGAUUCAAGUUCAUAAAGAAGGAUUUUCAAAGAUAACACGUUAAACAAAAUUUGCAAGGGUUUAGCAAUGCCCUUUUAUCACUGCUCACAGGGUAGCUUAUCUGUUCAUUUCUUCUAUUUUGCAUGCUAAUGAUAAAUCAGAGCCGAGCUUUAGUGUUUGCUUUGUCAUUGCCAUUGAGCCUGAUUUAGGAUAAUCUUAAUACAUGAAAUACCUUCCCAUUUUCUCUUCGCUUAUGUGUUCUCCCAGCAUCCCAAAUAGCAGGCAAGCAUUCUGGUUUGAAAAUCUUUUUAAACAUUGCUGCUAUAGCAUAUUCUUAGUAAUAUCAGAAGUGCCUGAAGAACAUUGAAGGGGAAAGCAUGCAGUCUACACUAAGAGAGAAUUGCUUAACUCCCUUAGGGCACUUUGAAAAUCACAGUCUGUGUAUUUCCAUCCAUUUGAAUUACGCUGCUUUAGUCCUUCUGAAAGCAUAGCAACCACAAUUACAGUAAUGAGCCGUUACAAGAAAAAUAUCUAUCACAAGCUCUAUAUGAUGCAGUAUAUUCACUUCGGAAGUGUGACAUUUUAGAAACAAGGGUAUUAAAUAUGCUGGUGUCUGCAUAAAUGCAGUGACCAAGAAGCUCUAGUUAUGUUACUCUAGUUAAUUAAAAAUGAGCUUUUAAAAUGAUUUUAUGAUGUGAAUGGUACAAGGUGUCUUGUAAGAAGAGCAAAUGAGAGACAGUAGAGGCUUACUUCUGUGUCUCAGAAGCAUAGCAUCCUCAUCUGGUUGAAUCAAGAUUGAGGUAAACGGGAACUGUGUGUGGUUAGGGUGUUUCUGUGUUCUUUUUAGCUGUGUCACGUGUUUCUGAGUGUCUGAGUGCUGACUGAGCACUCUGCUUACAAUGAAGAGAAGCAAACAGACAGAGCAUCAGGAGCAUAGUAUCUGCUUCAGCCUGCUGGCCUCUCUACCCCUGCUCCAUAUUCAGCACUGCCAAAGAGGAACAGCCUGGGAGAGGACAAGGCAACGGUUUUGUCUGAGUCUGCCUUCCAUGAUACAAGCAGGGAUGUGAAUCCUUCUGCCACUCUUGUUCUCAAGGACUUUUUUCAGAUCCCAUGCUUUUAUGAUUGUGAAGAAACAUUUGUAUUGCAGGACUGGCAGUAGGCCCUGGCCUAUGUGCAAGGGGACUGGAUGUGUACAACUAAGAGAGGAUUCCUGUCCCCAAAAUACACUGGGAUUAAUUAGUGUUGGCACUUAGCAGGUUUUUACAAAGUAGCAGCCUUUGUCUCCAGCCAUCCCCAGCUCUGGAUGUCUCAGAAUGCGGCUGGAGUCCUUACAGUGCACUCACUUGUGCAUAUUCUGUCCCACUGGGGACAAUUCUUCCACAAAUAGAGUGGCAGGUCUGUUUACUGCACUGUUUACACCCUAGACUCAGUGAAGUUUAAGUCUUUCUACAGUGUGGCUGUGCUCACCAUCUCUAAUGAUCAUUCUUCAUUACUAGACUACACGUAUGUGAAAAAUGGUGCAGUUUGGGCAUUUUCCUGAAUAUGUGCCCCUCAUUAAGAGAGGCACAAUGCUCCCAAAAGCUAUUGGUACAUAGGAAACUCGUUAGAAUUUGGAGAAAAUGUUUUUGGUUUUUUUUUUUCGGUCUUUAAAGAUUGUGAUCUUUUUAAUUCACUGUUGGUAGAGAAUUAGAAAUUUGCUGUAUCAUUGUUAACUAAGCAGAAUAAAGACCAUCUGCAAACAGAAAUUUAUGCUGCCUGUGCAAAGAGGUUUCAGCCACUGAAACUAUGGAAUUAUCAGAAAUAAUCUGCUCUAUGAACAUGAAUAUUGUCUACAGUGAUGAGCUUCCAGAGAAGCAGAGGUCUGGGAAAAAGGAUGAAGGAGAAUAUCACAUGACAUAAAAGCAGCUCCAGUUCUUACAGGCUCACUGGAAAAUUGUGGUUGUCUGUAAUAUCCGAUACCCCCAGAAAAAAUACAAGAGCCAUGAUAAAUAAAUGCAGUCCUCAUCCAGAACAUUCUGUAGAGUUCCCAUACGCUUGGUGGGAACUUCUUGCACAUUAACAUUGAAGCCAUGCAAAAACAUGACCUUGAAAGUGAACAGGAGGAGGAGAUUUUAGAAAGGAUAACUUAUCUUCUUAAUGACACUGAAGAAUAAGACACUCAGGAGAAACCCAAUAGCAUCAGCUGUAAAGGUCUCGUUUCCACUGUCAAGGAUGAAAAAGAAGGCCUUUAAGAAAGAGAGGCAGUAAAUUUGCUUUCCAACUCCUUUAUCACCCAUUACAUAGAAAGCCUGAGGGAGUGACAUCUUACAAUUGGAAAGAGCCUUAAUGGCCCAAAACUCAGCCCAGAUCUUGGAACAAAAGCUAUAGUCAUCACAUUUCUUUGCUUUCAGGACAAAGAACUUAUUAUGUAAAAAGCAGAAUAAAACUCAGCAGCUCGGGAUAUGCCAAUAAGCAAAUCUUUCUUUACUCAGACAAGAAAAAAGAAAAGAUCAGGAGGGAGGAACAAAUGCAAGUUUUCAAACAGCAGUCUGUUAGCCAGUCAGACCAGUGCGGAUUUAGGAUGAAGGUCCACCAUUUUUCACCUGCAGGGAAUUAGGUCAUCUGUUCCCCUUACAUUUUCACUUGUAUAAUCAAAGUCAUUGGCUCUAACAGUUCUGCAUCUUCUUGCAGAAGUUUGUGCUGUAGUAAGAGCCAGGGAACUGUAAUUCUUCAUAUAAUACGGUUCUACUUGAUUUACUUCUGAUAGUAUAGAGUUGAAAUCAUUACGAAGUGCUUAUUACAUAUUAAUAGUGUUUCAGAAAAAAGGGAGAUGAAAGAAUAGAGAAACUGGUAGUUGACAUACCUGUAUUUCAACUGUCUUACCUGUAUUAUAUAUAAAUACCUGUAUUACUGUCUUAAAAAUACCUCUGUCUUGUACUAACGCUGUCACCAUGUCCUUUUUUGCCAUAGACAAAAGCAGGAGGUUAGCAACAAUUAUCACUAUAAUAAGACACUCUCAGGAAACAAUCGGCUGUCACUGGGUCUCCAAGAUGUGCUGGCUGCUGGGUCUCCUUCCAAAGAAGUUGGUUUUGCCUACCAGUGGAACUGGCUCAGUUGUAUUUAUAAUACUAAUAUCAGAAACAGAAAAGAGGAUUAGUUCAGCCAAAUUUAGUAACAGCUUGUGAACAAACCUUAGACAUCUCAAAGUCAGAAAGGCUGUGCAAGAGCUGUAGAGAUCAAACAGUAUCAGUUGCAGUACUGUGUUUCAGAAAAAAAGAGAUUUAAUGGAAAAAGUUGCUGAUGAUGAUAAGAUAUAGCCCUGAACAAAUAUACAGUCCUAUUCAAAGAAAGAAAAAUGCCUCUGCUGUACAAUUGAAGUGAUUUACUCAAUUCACCACAUUUCACAAGUCUGUAUUUCAGCUUUUUUCAGAGAGUUACAGUAUCUGUUAAGUGGUGAGCAUGCAGAUUUACAGAUACUAAAGCAAAGCUUAACGUAAAAAUUAUUAAGUGUUCUUGUGCAUAGGAGAGGAUUAUUUCGUUAUGAUGUCUUGGUUGACUUACUGUAUCUUGUAUCUGGAGAAUGCAGACUUUGAAAACAGUGCAGUUUUUAUUUUUAAAUACACAUUGCUAUAGUUCAGUAACAGUAUUCUGUAUGUUUAAGCCAUGUUUCAUUCUAGAUCAUAUAGGCUGUUGGUUUUUAGUAUCUGAAAAUCUAGCAUCUUCUAUUUAAAAAAUA